rnacentral:rRNA from 1 species
AGAGUUUGAUCCUGGCUCAGGACGAACGCUGGCGGCGUGCUUAACACAUGCAAGUCGAACGGAAAGGCCCUUUCGGGGGUACUCGAGUGGCGAACGGGUGAGUAACACGUGGGUGAUCUGCCCUGCACUUCGGGAUAAGCUUGGGAAACUGGGUCUAAUACCGGAUAGGACUACGGCCUGCAUGGGUUGUGGUGGAGAGCUUUUGCGGUGUGGGAUGGGCCCGCGGCCUAUCAGCUUGUUGGUGGGGUGAUGGCCUACCAAGGCGACGACGGGUAGCCGGCCUGAGAGGGUGUCCGGCCACACUGGGACUGAGAUACGGCCCAGACUCCUACGGGAGGCAGCAGUGGGGAAUAUUGCACAAUGGGCGCAAGCCUGAUGCAGCGACGCCGCGUGGGGGAUGACGGCCUUCGGGUUGUAAACCUCUUUCAGCAGGGACGAAGCGCAAGUGACGGUACCUGCAGAAGAAGCAC